GGGCAGUGCUGAGCUCUCCUCUCUGUGACAGCGACAAGGCCCGAGGGAACUGCACGGAGCUGCGUCAGGGGAGGGGCAGGAUUUCCUUGAUUGGUGCCGGUAUGUUUCCAUCAGAGGAAAUAAACAAACCUUCUCUUGUGAAUGCUGAUGAAAGCCAGACUGGUGCUUGGCCACUUGCAAGGGUGUGUUGCUCCUCUGUGUGAUGCUGUGGCACUGCUUUCACCAAAAGCAUAAACAGGAGAAGCCAUGAGACAUCCUCCUUUGAGUCUCAGUCCCAGGUUUCUGACAAGGCAGCUACCCCAAUACAUGUAAGUUUUCCAUCAUUGCUGAUGUGCAGAAGAUUCCAACACAAGGAGUUUCUUGGAUCAUCCAUUGGGAGCUCUACACCUUGGACGUGCUGUUUCACUGCAUACACCACUGCACUAUCAAAUGGCAUCUUCUGCUGGACAACUUGGUUGUGAACAUGGGAUGCUUGUGCUACUGAAGCGCAACAUGCAGAACUGCACGUGACUUAUCCAAGUUAAGGGCACUUUAGUAGUAUAAGAAGGAGCUCCAUAUGGGGAUGUAGCCUUAUUUGCCGUGUGAGAGAUUGCUUCAGGUGAUCCAGAAGUGCAGCUUCUUCCAAUAGCCAUAAUACAAUUCUGGUCUGCACAGGUUGAUGCCACCUAAGCAACAAUGACUAUGGCUUAGAUCUGUACUACCUUUUUCUUCUUGACUACUCAUUUUCUUGAGCUUCUUAUUGUAGGCAUAUACUGCAUUGUUCUUUGUGCACUGCUAACUGGAGCUUUCUUACAGAAAGCUAGGGAUUUUUUUAUUUUGAGAUUGUCUGUAUAAGCAAUUUCUUCUGUAGCCUGAUAUGCCAUAUCCCAUUAAAGAUUACAAAGCAGAGUCAGCAAGUAUGACAAGGGAUUUUAAAAAGUUAAAUUUAUCUCUUGACUUGAGAAUGUGCAAAUGGGAAAAAAAAUUUAGCCGUCAGUAAUUAUGUUGCUCAAAGAAAUAGAGCUCAGAGAUAAUAAGAAGUCCAGUGUAGUAAUUGCUUGUAGUACUAAACAGUUGAUACAGUGGGGAGAUUUGAACUGCUUAACGAACUGAUGUAAAGGCAGAUAGGUUGUGUCCUUGGACAAUGACUGCAUGUGUUCUUCCAGGUACCCCAUUUAAGAGAGAGAUUUUCAUUUCUUCUCUCUUCCUCUUUCUUCCACCGCCUUUAGAAAGAUGAGGCAAUAAUAUUCUGCCAGUAAUGGAAAAAUGAAAAGUCUGUGUAGAUCUAUGGAUCUUGAAAAGCCUUAUAUGUGGGGAAUCAUCUUCACUCAGGAUCCUCAUGCUACAGCUUCAGCAGAAAACACAUCUAAAGGUCAUCCAAUUAGAUAAAAACAUGUAUUCUUCAGGUAGUAUCCUCUGGUUUUCUCACAUUCAAACCUGAUGCGAAGCUGAUGAUGUAAAGCAGAGCUCUAUCAAGAAAUGUCAUAGGUCCAGAUCCCUUUCCUUUCUUGUGUUUUGGGCAACUCAUUCUUCACUGGACUCGUGUUCUCAUGCUAGCGAUAAAAUACUUGUUGCUGUAAUGUACGUGCUGGCCUACUCACCCAAACCUCUCCUAUAUACACCAUACCAUGAAAUAUUGCUUUCAUCAUUCACUUCACUUAACUCAUCUCCUUCCUCUCUCUUCCACAUUUUCCUCCCCCCAAACACUCUUUCCCUUUAAUAUCAGAGGACAGAAGAGAGUUAAGCAGGCAAAUAUGACAUCAGCCAAACUUCUGUUAUUCCAAGAAGUUCUUCAAACCUCCUGAAAGUAAAACAGAUUGCACGUGAGGAGUUAGCUGCAGAUGCUGUACAGGACCUCCACCACCCUCCUGAACUUUGGCACCUAGAAGGAUGUGGGGGCUGUCACCAUGCUUUCUAUACACAGGCCAACAAGUCUGCUGUGAAAAUACUAAGAAAAUCUCAGGGCAUUUAAAGAUUAAAUACUUUACUAUCAGAGUCCUGAAUUCUGUGGAUUUUCAAGAGACUGGAUGGUUUUCAAGUGCUUGAAUUCAAUGUGGUUUUUUUUGAAGCUGAGGCAGGUGAGCUUCAUGAUGUAGUUUGUAAUCCUGUUUCUUCUGUCCCCACCCCUGCCUCAGCUGUGUGUUAGGAUAAGAACUCAUGUGCUGGUCUUUUUGCAUAGCUAGGCUUGAGGAGGGAGGCAGAGUGGUCCCUGAUCUUGAGGGUCUGGACUACAGCAUUACGGUGGCAUGUGGCCUGAUCAUAUCCCUGAGACUAGCACUGCAGAGAGUAAUGUAGCAUGCAACCUUGCAAGAGGGAGUACCUGGCUGCAGACAACUCUUAAAAUAUAUAUAUAUAUACAGGGUCCAUUUAUUCCCUUUUUUAUUAAAAAAAAAUACUUAUACAACUGGUUUUAAAAUCCUAGACUUGGAGAUUGGUGAAGGAGGAGUUUACUGCUCAUUUUGACUUGUAAGUCUUUGCAGAAAGAUUAAAAGCUGAGUUUCAAUGCGUGCAUGAAGCUGGAAGUACUGGGGCUCAAUGUGUUUGACUUGAGUGAUUCAAACUUGUGGUGAGAGUUUGAGGAUGGGCAAAGUACUCUGUCACUCUUCCUGAUGCCUUUUGACCCCAAUUUUCUUGCAAGUUAAGAAGCUCUGAUCUAACCACCGGAAACAAUUAGCUUGCUUUUCUUGUGCAGCAGCUCAGCAUACGCACCUCUAAUCAGAGACUGAGGAGCAGACCUCUGUCAGGCAAGCAGACUCUGAGUGAUUGCUGGCAACAAUAGUACUGGAGUUUAGAGUUAAAUGAAAUUUUA